UCUGAACCCUUAGAGGUAGGAGUCCUGGUACAAAGAUAGCUUGGUUUUAUAGGAAGGGCAUGAGAACAGAAGCCAUAUGUUUCUAAAGACAUUUUAAAAUGCCCUAAAGACAUUUUGAAAUGCUUUAAAUGCAUUGUAUAAACAAAAUACUUGGUGGAGAAAGAUUUCUAUUGUCAUUUUUUAGAAUGCUAUGUCUAACUCAUUCUUGAGUGAAGUGACCAUCUGAAACUCAUUCUCUUUUUUGCUUCAAUGUUUUCUCCUUCCAAAUCCAAUAUGUUUCAGGUCCCUGUUUUUGACCUUUUUCCUUCCUGUUUCCUUUUUCAGAAAACAAAUGUUAUUGGCCAAAACAGCAGUUCUCGUGAUGUAUCCUUAUCUCAGUGUUUGCAACUUAAAUGUAAUAAUUUGAGGUGUUAAGACUUCCCAGGAGCCAUAUGCCUAUGAAUCAGAUUCAGAAGACUGGUUGGCUGAAACCGAAGUCUUCCAUGCUGAUUGUGAUGUGUGCUGCAAUACACAUGGGAAGUUGUCUUUUUUUUUUUUUUCCAUAUUUUUCCAUUAGUGCUUCUACUGAAAGACUGCAAGGACUGUCUCUUGUUUUUUCAAAAGCAAGUCAUUCAUUAGGAUGCUUUAUCUUUGCUAAAAGACAUGUUUUCAACUUCAACACGGCCACUGGCCAGAAAAGCAGGUUUUUUUUUUUUUUUCCUUUAAAAAAGCGUUGGAAAUCAUCAGUCUGACUCAGGAAGAAGGAUUUCAGUUUCAAAGAGAGAGGCAACUAGCUGACACCUGGAGAUUAUGAAAGUCAUGAAAUUCAGCCAAAAUGUGAGUUUUUAAAUCUUUUCAACUUUAAGAUAAUUUUGUAGUGGUAGUGGAUUUACCAAAAUAUC
rnacentral:lncRNA from 1 species